rnacentral:rRNA from 1 species
GAUGAACGCUAGCGGCAGGCUUAACACAUGCAAGUCGAGCGGGAAACUUCGGUCUCCAGCGGCGGACGGGCGAGUAACACGUGGGCAACCUGCCUCGCAAUGAGGGAUAGCCCUCCGAAAGGAGGAUUAAUACCUCAUAACACAAGAGAAACGCAUGUUUCUCUUGCCAAAGAAUUUCGUUGUGAGAUGGGCCCGCGGCGCAUUAGCUUGUUGGUGAGGUAACGGCUCACCAAGGCUUCGAUGCGUAGCCGACCUGAGAGGGUGAUCGGCCACAUUGGAACUGAGACACGGUCCAGACUCCUACGGGAGGCAGCAGUGGGGAAUAUUGCACAAUGGAGGAAACUCUGAUGCAGCAACGCCGCGUGAGUGAUGAAGGUCUUCGGAUUGUAAAGCUCUGUCUUCUGGGACGAUAAUGACGGUACCAGAGGAGGAAGCCACGGCUAACUACGUGCCAGCCGCCGCGGUAAGAC